AGUGAACGCUGGCGGUAGGCCUAACACAUGCAAGUCGAACGGCAGCACAGUAAGAGCUUGCUCUUACGGGUGGCGAGUGGCGGACGGGUGAGGAAUACAUCGGAAUCUACUUUUUCGUGGGGGAUAACGUAGGGAAACUUACGCUAAUACCGCAUACGACCUACGGGUGAAAGCAGGGGAUCUUCGGACCUUGCGCGAAUGAAUGAGCCGAUGUCGGAUUAGCUAGUUGGCGGGGUAACGGCCCACCAAGGCGACGGUCCGUAGCUGGUCUGAGAGGAUGAUCCGCCACACUGGAACUGAGCCACGGUCCAGGCUCCUACGGGAGGCCGCAGUGCGGAAUAUUGGACAAUGGGCGGAAUCCUGAUCCAGCCAUACCGCGUGGGUGAAGAAGGCCUUCGGGUUGUAAAGCCCUUUUGUUGGGAAAGACAAGCAGCAGGUUAAUACCCCGCUGUUCUGACGGUACCCAAAGAAUAAGCACCGGCUAACUUCGUG
rnacentral:rRNA from 1 species